UACGAAGGGGGCUAGCGUUGUUCGGAAUUACUGGGCGUAAAGGGCGCGUAGGCGGUCCUUCAAGUCAGGCGUGAAAGCCCCGGGCUCAACCUGGGAACCGCGCUUGAGACUGGCGGGCUAGAGUUCGGGAGAGGAUGGUGGAAUUCCCAGUGUAGAGGUGAAAUUCGUAGAUAUUGGGAAGAACACCGAUGGCGAAGGCAGCCAGCUGGACCGACACUGACGCUGAGGCGCGAAAGCGUGGGGAGCGAACAGG
rnacentral:rRNA from 1 species